GAUGAACGCUGGCGGCGUGCCUAAUACAUGCAAGUCGAGCGAACAGACGAGGAGCUUGCUCCUUCGACGUUAGCGGCGGACGGGUGAGUAACACGUAGGUAACCUACCUAUAAGACUGGGAUAACUUCGGGAAACCGGAGCUAAUACCGGAUAAUAUUUCGAACCGCAUGGUUCGAUAGUGAAAGAUGGCUUUGCUAUCACUUAUAGAUGGACCUGCGCCGUAUUAGCUAGUUGGUAAGGUAACGGCUUACCAAGGCAACGAUACGUAGCCGACCUGAGAGGGUGAUCGGCCACACUGGAACUGAGACACGGUCCAGACUCCUACGGGAGGCAGCAGUAGGGAAUCUUCCGCAAUGGGCGAGAGCCUGACGGAGCAACGCCGCGUGAGUGAUGAAGGUCUGCGGAUCGUAAAACUCUGUUAUUAGGGAAGAACAAACGUGUAAGUAACUGCGCACGUCUUGACGGUACCUAAUCAGAAAGCCACGGCUAACUACGUG
rnacentral:rRNA from 1 species